rnacentral:rRNA from 1 species
UAAGCAAUUAUACAGCGAAACUGCGAAUGGCUCAUUAUAUAAGUUAUCGUUUAUUUGAUAGUACCUUACUACUUGGAUAACCGUGGUAAUUCUAGAGCUAAUACAUGCUAAAAAUCCCGACUUCGGAAGGGAUGUAUUUAUUAGAUUAAAAACCAAUGCCCUCUGGGCUCUUUGGUGAUUCAUGAUAACUUCUCGAAUCGCACGGCCUUGCGCCGGCGAUGGUUCAUUCAAAUUUCUUCCCUAUCAACUUUCGAUGUUUGGGUAUUGGCCAAACAUGGUUGCAACGGGUAACGGAGGGUUAGGGCUCGACCCCGGAGAAGGAGCCUGAGAAACGGCUACUACAUCCAAGGAAGGCAGCAGGCGCGCAAAUUACCCAAUCCCGACACGGGGAGGUAGUGACAAUAAAUACUGAUACAGGGCUCUUUUGGGUCUUGUAAUUGGAAUGAGUACAAUUUAAAUCCCUUAACGAGGAACAAUUGGAGGGCAAGUCUGGUGCCAGCAGCCGCGGUAAUUCCAGCUCCAAUAGCGUAUAUUAAAGUUGUUGUGGUUAAAAAGCUCGUAGUUGAACCUUGGGCCUGGCUGGCCGGUCCGCCUCACCGCGUGUACUGGUCCGGCCGGGCCUUUCCCUCUGUGGAACCUCAUGCCCUUCACUGGGUGUGACGGGGAAACAGGACUUUUACUUUGAAAAAAUUAGAGUGCUCCAGGCAGGCCUAUGCUCGAAUACAUUAGCAUGGAAUAAUGAAAUAGGACGUGUGGUUCUAUUUUGUUGGUUUCUAGGACCGCCGUAAUGAUUAAUAGGGACAGUCGGGGGCAUCAGUAUUCAAUUGUCAGAGGUGAAAUUCUUGGAUUUAUUGAAGACUAACUACUGCGAAAGCAUUUGCCAAGGAUGUUUUCAUUAAUCAGGAACGAAAGUUAGGGGAUCGAAGACGAUCAGAUACCGUCGUAGUCUUAACCAUAAACUAUGCCGACUAGGGAUCGGACGAUGUUAUUUUUUGACGCGUUCGGCACCUUACGAGAAAUCAAAGUGCU